rnacentral:tRNA from 1 species
AGUCCGGUAGUGCGAGGCACGUCGAAUUGCAAAUUCGAAAACGCCGCCGAUUUCUCGCGGCCCGGACU